UACGUAGGCAGCAAGCGUUGUUCGGAAUUACUGGGCGUAAAGAGUGUGUAGGCGGUGUUCUAAGUUUGUCGUGAAAUCUCCCGGCUUAACUGGGAGGGUGCGGCGGAAACUGGAAUGCUAGAGGAUGGGAGAGGUAAGCGGAAUUCCUGGUGUAGCGGUGAAAUGCGUAGAUAUCAGGAGGAACACCUGUGGUGUAGACAGCUUACUGGACCAUUUCUGACGCUGAGACACGAAAGCGUGGGUAGCAAACAGG
rnacentral:rRNA from 1 species